GAUGAACGCUGGCGGCGUGCCUAAUACAUGCAAGUCGAGCGAACAGACAAGGAGCUCGCUCCUCUGACGUUAGCGGCGGACGGGUGAGUAACACGUGCAUAAGCUUCCUAUAAAACUGGGAUAAUUUCGGGAAACCGGAUCCAAUACCGCCUAAUAUACUCUACCGCUUGGUUCAAUAGUGAAACACAGCUUUGCUGUCUUGUAUAGACGGAUCCGCGCCGCAUUACCUGGUUGGUAAGGGAACGGCUUACCAAGGCAACGAAGCGUAUCCGACCUGCUAGGGUGAUCAGCCACACUGGAACUGAGCCACGGUCCAGACUCCUACGGGAGGCAGCAGUAGGGAAUCUUCCCCAAUGGGCGAAAGCCUGACGGAGCCACACCGCGUGAGUGAUGAAGGUCUUCGGAUCGUAAAACUCUGUUAUUAGGGAAGAACAGCAGUGUAAGAAACUAUGCACGUCUUGACGGUACCCAAUCAGAAAGCCACGGCUAACUACGUG
rnacentral:rRNA from 1 species